CCCUUAGAUGUCCUGGGCUGCACGCGCGCUACACUGACGAACUCAACGAGCUUAUCACCUUGGCAGAGAUGUCUGGGUAAUCUUUUGGAAGUUCGUCGUGCUGGGGAUAGAUGAUUGUAAUUAUUCGUCUUGAACGAGGAAUUCCUAGUAAGUGUGAGUCAUCAGCUCGCGCUGAUUACGUCCCUGCCCUUUGUACACACCGCCCGUCGCUCCUACCGAUUGAAUGGUCCGGUGAGGUUCUCGGAUUUUUUCUGUUGUUUGGUUCGCUAAACGAUUGAAGAGAGAAGUUACCCAAACCUUACCAUUUAGAGGAAGGAGAAGUCGUAACA
rnacentral:rRNA from 1 species